CCUACGGGUGGCAGCAGUGAGGAAUAUUGGUCAAGGGGCGCGAGCCUGAACCAGCCAAGUAGCGUGAAGGAUGACGGCCCUACGGGUGGUAAACUUCUUUUAUAAAGGAAUAAAGUGAGGCACGUGGGCCUUUUUGUAUGUACUUUAUGAAUAAGGAUCGGCUAACUCCGUGCCAGCAGCCGCGGUAAUACGGAGGAUCCGAGCGUUAUCCGGAUUUAUGGGGUUUAAAGGGAGCGUAGAGGGGUUGUUAAGUCAGUGGGGAAAGUUGGCGGCUCAACCGUAAAAUUCCAAUUGCUACUGGCAGUCUUGCGUACAGUUUCGGUAGUCGGAAUUCGUGGUGUAGCGGUGAAAUGCUUAGAUCUCACG
rnacentral:rRNA from 1 species